rnacentral:rRNA from 1 species
UACCAGCACCCCGAGUGUUCGGGGCGAUUAUUGGGCCUAAAGCAUCCGUAGCCGGUCCUGCAAGUCUUCCGUUAAAUCCAGCUGCUCAACAGAUGGGCUGCGGGAGAUACUACAGGGCUAGGAGGCGGGAGAGGCAAGCGGUACUUUAUGGGUAGGGGUAAAAUCCGCUGAUCCAUAGAAGACCACCAGUGGCGAAGGCGGCUUGCCAGAACGCGCUCGACGGUGAGGGAUGAAAGCUGGGGGAGCAAACCGG